rnacentral:tRNA from 1 species
ACCGUAGAUAGUUAUAAUAAAAACGUGAGGCUUAAAACCCCAAAUUGGAGAAUAAAUUCUCCUCAUGGUA